UUCAGUGGAUCCCUCGGCUCGUGGGUCGAUGAAAAACGCAGCUAAACGCGCGUUGUCAUGUGAACUGCAGGACACAUGAGCAUCGACAUUUUGAACGCAAAUGGCGGCCCUCGGUUUAUCCUUGGGCCACUCCCGGAUGAGGGUUGGAUUUCAAACAACAAGACUGCU
rnacentral:rRNA from 1 species